rnacentral:rRNA from 1 species
AGCGAACGCUGGCGGCAGGCCUAACACAUGCAAGUCGAACGAACCCUUCGGGGUUAGUGGCGGACGGGUGAGUAACACGUGGGAACGUGCCUUUAGGUUCGGAAUAACUCAGGGAAACUUGUGCUAAUACCGAAUGUGCCCUUCGGGGGAAAGAUUUAUCGCCUUUAGAGCGGCCCGCGUCUGAUUAGCUAGUUGGUGAGGUAAAGGCUCACCAAGGCUACGAUCAGUAGCUGGUCUGAGAGGAUGACCAGCCACAUUGGGACUGAGACACGGCCCAAACUCCUACGGGAGGCAGCAAUGGGGAAUCUUGCGCAAUGGGCGAAAGCCUGACGCAGCCAUGCCGCGUGGAUGAUGAAGGUCUUAGGAUUGUAAAAUCCUUUCACCGGUGAAGAUAAUGACUGUAGCCGGAGAAGAAGCCCCGGCUAACUUCGUGCCAGCCGCCGCCGUAAGAC